GUGAACUGUUGACGGGAAAAAGAAGUUUUGAUGAACUGUUGGCGGGAAAAAAGAAGUUUUUGGUGAACUGUUGGCGGGUAAUUAAGAGUGUUUGGAACUGUGGAGGAAUUAAAGGGAAUUUUUGAAGGGACGUGAAUGACACGAACCCUUUGUCGUCUCUGUUCCGGACAAAGGAAGCCUCCGAGACUGCUUCGAAGACUAACCGUGACGCGGUUUGAAUUAAUAUUAACCAUCAAAAAUUAUAACAUUCGUUGAAAUAAAGUGUUACAUCAGAAAACAGCAAACAAAAGGAGAAGAGGCGGCUCCAGUGGAUGUGAAACUUUCGGGGAGGCUUUGCCGCAAGAACACGUUCACCUAGCGGAUUUGGUAGAGUUGUGUAUGCAGUCUAUGCAGAAUCCAGCGAACAUUACAAGGAUUUUCAUAUUCAUAUCAUAUCAUACUGUAAAGAACUUCAUAGUACCACAGAAGCAUCCUUCGAGCUCGGAGUGACGGCCUGAUAUGCGGCGGUGGGACGCCCCAAGAGCACUUGACGUAGAACACUAGAGGCGGAAUACGGGGAACUUGGGAAGUCCUGAGGGGGUCUGGAGCCCAUUUCAGCGAACUGCGGGCUAUGACGCGAAGGUGUG